AUUGAACGCUGGCGGCAGGCUUAACACAUGCAAGUCGAGCGAGCGGCUGACGGGUGAGUAAUGUCUGGGAAACUGCCUGAUGGAGGGGGAUAACUACUGGAAACGGUAGCUAAUACCGCAUACCAUCAGAUGUGCCCAGAUGGGAUUAGCUCGUAGGUGGGGUAAUGGCUCACCUAGGCGACGAUCCCUAGCUGUUCUGAGAGGAUGACCAGCAACACAGGAAAGGAGACACGGGCCAGAAUCCUACGGGAGGCAGCAGGGGGGAAUAUUGCACGAUGGGCGCAAGCAUGAUGCAGCCAUGACGCGUGUGUGAAGAAGGCAUUCGGGUUGUAAAGCAAUUGCAGCGAGGAGGCGUUAAUCGCAGAAGAAGCACCGGCGAACUCCGUGCCAGCAGCCGCGUAAUUC
rnacentral:rRNA from 1 species